rnacentral:rRNA from 1 species
CCUACGGGAGGCAGCAGUGAGGAAUAUUGGUCAAUGGACGAGAGUCUGAACCAGCCAAGCAGCGUGAAGGAUGACUGCCCUAUGGGUUGUAAACUUCUUUUAUAUGGGAAUAAAACAGGGUAUGCAUACCCUCUUGUAUGUACCAUAUGAAUAAGGAUCGGCUAACUCCGUGCCAGCAGCCGCGGUAAUACGGAGGAUCCGAGCGUUAUCCGGAUUUAUUGGGUGUAAAGGGAGCGUAGGUGGAUUGUUAAGUCAGUUGUGAAAGUUUGCGGCUCAACCGUAAAAUUGCAGUUGAAAAUGGCAGUCUUGAGUACAGUAGAGGUGAGGGGAAUUCGUGGUGUAGCGGUGAAAUGCUUAGAUAUCAGGAAGAACUCCGAUGGCGAAGGCAGCUUACUGGACUGCAACUGACACUGAUGCUCGAAAGUGUGGGUAUCAAACAGGAUUAGAUACCCCAGUAGUC